GAGCCUAUUAGGAUUUUUAUUAGGGUUUCACGGCUUUCACCUAAUAGCCGUCAUUCACUCACUCUCUCUCUCUCCUCUCCUCUCCUCUCCGUCAUUCACCUCUUUCUCUCAUUUCCAACUCAGUCCUUCUCUCCUCUCCUCUCCUCCAUCAAUCUUAGAGAAAAAAUGGUUAAAUUGGGGGUUUUGAUUUGCUUUAUAAAUCCAAGGGUUUAUUGACGGGGGUUGUGUCGGAUCCUUCUCAAGGUCUUUCCUCAACACAACCAGAAGAGACGGGGGUUUAUUGACGGGGGUUUCAAUUUUGCGCAACAAUUUCUGGGCAGCGUGUUGUUGUGGUUCGUUGCGAAGAGAUCGCACUUUCUGGUGGUCUUUUAGGCAGAAGAUGAAGUAUCUUGGUUUUCUUCGUAAGAGGAUGAACAUCAAACCUUCUCAUGGUCCUAUUCAUUUCCGUGCUCCUUGUGAGAUCUUAUGGCGUACCGUUCGAGGGGGGUGAAGUUGGAAGUGAAGCUGCCUUGGUUGCAUUGAACGGCAGAUAACAGGACUUGGACACUUUCGAUGCCAACUCUGAGCUUAUGAUUAUAGGUGGGUUGAAGUGUGGUGUAACGCUGCUAUCAUUGGUUUGAUAAAGGUUAGACUGGCUGAACCUUUGGGUAGUAGCUUUGCAGAGUAUAGCAGCUUCGUAUUUUUAUGUUUAAGUUUGUUUUAUUUUAGUUGUAUUUGAUCUGUUAGAAUUUUUUUUUAACUUUUAUUCAAAUUAAUUUUGAUUUUUGGGUUUUUUUGGAUUGUCAAUAAUAAAAAAUGGGUAUCUGUUUGAGCCUUUGUUUGUUAAAUUAGGUUUCUUUUAAUAGAAACAUAUGACGAGAUCUUUUUUUUUAUUCGUAUUAGUUUGGCUUUCAAAUUUGGUUUCAAGUGUCAUAAAUUAUGAUAUUCGGUUUAUUUAAUUUGUGCUAACUUAUAAUUGAUCUUGUUAAA